rnacentral:ncRNA from 2 species
CAAGCCAGAAGAGGCGCGCCGCCCAGGUAAGAUAUCGGAGGAUCCGUGGUCCAUUGACGAUAUCCGAGGGGGAGCGGCGCCGAGGUGCGGUGAAACACGGUAUCGACCGCAUCGACCGCAGGGGCUGAAUCCCCUGGGUUGUCACCCGGUUCGCCCCAAGGGGCGUUCGGCAAGGUGGAGCGCUUCUGGGUGU